rnacentral:sRNA from 1 species
ACUCGUCGGCUCGCUGUCUCGAACUGAA